AUUGAACGCUGGCGGCAUGCCUUACACAUGCAAGUCGAACGGCAGCAUGGAGAGCUUGCUCUCUGAUGGCGAGUGGCGAACGGGUGAGUAAAGCAUCGGAACGUACCGUGUAGUGGGGGGUAACGUAGCGAAAGUUACCCUAAUACCGCAUACGCACUGAGGUGGAAAGCAGGGGAUCGUAAGACCUUGCGCUAUACGAGCGGCCGAUGUCAGAUUAGCUAGUUGGUAGGGUAAAGGCCUACCAAGGCGACGAUCUGUAGCGGGUCUGAGAGGAUGAUCCGCCACACUGGGACUGAGACACGGCCCAGACUCCUACGGGAGGCAGCAGUGGGGAAUUUUGGACAAUGGGGGCAACCCUGAUCCAGCCAUGCCGCGUGAGUGAAGAAGGCCUUCGGGUUGUAAAGCUCCUUCGGCCGGGAAGAAAUCGCACAGGCUAAUACCCUGUGUGGAUGACGGUACCGGCAUAAGAAGCACCGGCUAACUACGUGCCAGCAGCCGCCGCCG
rnacentral:rRNA from 1 species